GAUGAACGCUGGCGGCGUGCCUAAUACAUGCAAGUCGAGCGAACAGACGAGGAGCUUGCUCCUCUUACGUUAGCGGCGGACGGGUGAGUAACACGUGGAUAACCUACCUAUAAGACUGGGAUAACUUCGGGAAACCGGAGCUAAUACCGGAUAAUAUAUUGAACCGCAUGGUUCAAUAGUGAAAGACGGUUUUGCUGUCCCUUAUUGAUGGAUCCGCGCCGCAUUAGCUAGUUGGUAAGGUAACGGCUUACCAAGGCAACGAUGCGUAGCCGACCUGAGAGGAUGAUCGGCCACACUGGAACUGAGACACGGUCCAGACUCCUACGGGAGGCAGCAGUAGGGAAUCUUCCGCAAUGGGCGAAAGCCUGACGCAGCAACGCCGCGUGAGUGAUGAAGGUCUUCGGAUCGUAAAACUCUGUUAUUAGGGAAGAACAAAUGUGAAAGUAACUAUGCACGUCUUGACGGUACCUAAUCAGAAAGCCACGGCUAACUACGUG
rnacentral:rRNA from 1 species